CAAUAGCGUAUAUUAAAGUUGUUGCGGUAAAAAAGCCCGUAGUUGGAUUUCUGUUGAGAGCGACCGGUCCAUACCAUGUAUGCGUAUCUGGCUUGCUCUCGGCAUCCUCUCGAUAGACGUUACUGCGCUUGAUUGCGUGGUGCGGAUCUCGGGACUUUUACUUUGAGGAAAUUAGAGUGUUCACGGCAGGCUUUCGCCGGAAUACAUUAGCAUGGAAUAAUACUAUAGGAUCUUGGUUCUAUUUUGUUGGUUUCUAGAAUUGAGAUAAUGAUUAAUAGGGACAAUUGGGGGCAUUCGUAUCAACACGUCAGAGGUGGAAUUCUUGGAUUGUGUUGCGACGAACUACUGCGAAAGCAUUUGCCAAGGAUGUUUUCAUUGA
rnacentral:rRNA from 1 species